CAAACUUCUGACAUCUCUGCCAUCUGUUGGUGACGGUCGUACCCAGCAGUACCACUGACUGCAGUUUCCAAAGUCACGCUGGAUGUGCAAAGUGGUGCCUCAUUUCCAGGCCAGGUUUCUUUGUUGUUUGUUUUUCCAGGAAUCCCCCAUCCUUUUCUCUCCCGUUUUUAUUCCUUGUUUUAUUCUUCAGCUUCUCGAGGCUGUGUUUUGUGGUUUUUUCUCUUAGCCCUUUCCCAUUCUCCAGCCGGACACGACGCCAGAAGUUAGAGAAAAACCCACUUCUCCACCUCUCCUUCAAUACACCCAAGGGAUGGGAACUCUCUCCCAAGGGAUGGGAACCUCUUGGCAUGAAGCUGAGUCACCAUCCCUGGAGGUGUUCAAGAACCACGUAAAUGUUGUGCUAAGGGACGUGGUUCAGUGGGGGAAAUGGUGGUGGUGGAUGGUUGGACUGGAUGGUCUUGGAGCUCUUUUCCAACCGUGGUGACUCUGUGAAACAUCUGGACUUUUCCCCAUGGAAAUAAUUGCUGGGAGUGAUUUGAGGGGCAAAGCUGGCCUAAAUGGUGGGGAAGUCUCCCAUGCUUUAUUCAUUCCAAGCACUGAAUUCAGCGGGAGUUGGGAUGUACCUCGCAAAGGAGGAGCUGAGGUGGAGUGGGAAGUAAAGGUGAGGAUGCAGCAGUGAGAAGAGGCUGAAGGGGCAGUGCAUGAGUGCUGGGGGCUCACGUUUCCAGCCUGCACUGCAAAGCUGACGGGAAGCUCUUAGUCCAACCUCACUAAAACAAACUGGUGUGACCGGCACCUCUGUGUCUGGGAAGCCACUGAUGGGAUCACCAAGGUCACAAAAUGGGGCUCGCUGGGACAGAGCCAGCCCCAUCCCUGGGCACACGGGUGGCUGAAUCUACGUUGGGUUUCCCGGAAGGUACUGCUUUGGUGCAAGACUGAUGAGCAUCUCCAGUGAUGAGCAGCGGGAUGCUGGUGGCUAUGGGAUGCUAGGUGUGGAUGAAGCUGGUUUUUCACCCUCCUCUGCAAAGCAGAGGGACACCCCCGUGAUGUUUCAGUCGCCUCAGUGGUGGAGGCAGCAUCCAUAGGACAUCACGACCCCACACAGCUCAUGGUGGGAAGAACCACGAGCAAGAAAUCUCUCUCUGCUGAUGGCGCGCGAACCUUCUCUGGUGAUACGAGCACUGAUUUGGGAGGAGUGGAGUUUUUUACCCUGGGGCACUCCAGGAGAUCAAACUGAUGGUUUGGUUCAGUUUUAUAGCCAGAAGGGAAAUCUACUGUGCUUACUUUGAAUGCAACAUGCGUUCUUUUUUGUUUCCCUAAUCUUCCGGACUAAAAAGGGGCUAAAUGGAGCCUGAAGUAUAAUUUUCAGACAAAGAAAAUAUAAAGAAGAACAGUCAUCGAGGCUGCAUGCUAAUGGAAUAAUAGGACCUGCUGGAGGCAAGUUCAUAAACUGCGGGCUGUGUAAUGGAUCAUCUCCAGUCUCUGCCACUGACUCCUCAAGAGAGACUCAUUGACAUACCUUUGCAUGAAGCAAUUCACUGCUUCUUGGAUCUCCCAUGAUUGUAUGAUUGAAGGAUGACCACGGAUACUGCAGAUCUCCAGAACAGACCACCUCACCCUGACAAACAAAUGCACGUUCCUCUGUAAUUUUCCAACAGGAUUUGCAGUGGGUGGGCACAGGCUGGAGAGCUUGGCAGCGUUUCCAGUAGGGCUGUUUGCUGCAGAAAACACUUAUUUUUAUCCAUGUAUGGAAUAAUUGUCUCCUGGUGUCUGUGAUGAAAUCUGUGAUUUCUGCAGCCACGCUCCCUCGCUCUACAAGCUCUGCACCAACACUCUCUGUACACCCCAAAGCAAGACACCAACGCUGGCUUUAACCAUCCUCCUCUCCAUCCAUAUAAAUCCCUUUCUGUAAACCUACCCCCGGCUCUUCUCAGCCAGAAGAGCAUGUCGUGGAGGGCAGGUCCUACUUCGGCUGGUUGGUUGGAUGGUAGCCUUUUCCCACACUGGUCAGCAACUCCCAGACCAGAACACCUUAUCUCUGUACCUCCCUGUCCAAAAGGAGAGCCUACCCUGACACCCCCACCCCUCCGACGUGUCCUCAGUGCCCUCUGAUGCGUCCCUGAGGCACAGGAGGGGGCGGAUGGAAUGUUUUCCU
ensembl:lncRNA